CGGUCAUACCGCUCGGUUAACGUGGCUAGGUCAGCUAUCUCGGCGGCACAUGUCCCGCUUAGAGGUUUUCCCAUCGGCCAGGAUCCGCUAGUCUGCAGACUCCUGCGUGGAAUGAGGCUGGCGCGCCCUCCGGCGCCCAAGUACUCUUCCCUCUGGGACGUACGUUUGGUUUUGGCGUUCCUUCGGGAUUGGCCUGAUAACCAGGACCUUUCUCCUCGCCAGCUUUCGGCAAAAUUUGCCCUCUUGUUGUGUCUGGUCUCGUUCAGACGUGUUUCGGAUGUCCGGGCCUUCGAUGUCGACGCUUUCUCGUUUUCUCCAGAGGGGGUCUCCUUCAAGGUGGUUAGACGUACCAAGUCGGACUCGACGGUUGUAUCAUACCCUUACUUCAAAGAUUCGCCUAAGCUUUGUGUAGCGAAGGCACUGGCUCGUUAUGUUGCGGUUACCGCUCCUUUGCGCUCUUCUCAUUCUGG